UAAGGAAUAUUGCUCAAUGGGAGAAAUCCUGAAGCAGCAACGCCGCGUGGAGGAUGAAGGGUCUAUGACUUGUAAACUCCUGUAAAGAAGGAAAAAAUUCCCAUUAGAUGGGAGAUGAUGGUACUUCUGGAGUAAGCCCCGGCUAACUACGUGCCAGCAGCCGCGGUAAUACGUAGGGGGCAAGCGUUGUCCGGAUUUACUGGGUGUAAAGGGUGCUCAGGCGGAUUUGUAAGUCAGAGGUGAAAUCUUACAGCUUAACUGUGAAACUGCCUUUGAUACUGCAAGCCUAGAGUAUGGAAGAGAGUGAUGGAAUAUCUGGUGUAGCAGUGAAAUGCGUAGAUAUCAGAUAGAACACCGAUGGCGAAGGCAGCCACUUGGUCCAUUACUGACGCUAAAGCACGAAAGCGUGGGUA
rnacentral:rRNA from 1 species